AGAGUUUGAUCCUGGCUCAGGAUGAACGCUGGCGGUAUGCUUUACACAUGCAAGUCAUACGGAAGUUAGUUUCGACUAGCUUCAGUGGCGGACGGGUGAGUAACACGUGAGAAUUCGCCUUUAGGAGGGGGAUAACAGGGGGAAACACCUGCUAAAACCCCAUAUGCCUUCGGGUCAAAAGAGCAAUCUGCCUAAAGAGAAGCUCGCGGCUGAUUGCUAGUUGGUGGGGUAAAGGCCUACCAAGGCGACGAUCAGUAGCUGGUCUGAGAGGACGAUCAGCCACACUGGAACUGAGACACGGUCCAGACUCCUACGGGAGGCAGCAGUGAGGAAUUUUCUGCAAUGGGCGAAAGCCUGACAGAGCAAUACCGCGUGAGGGAAGAAGGCUCACUGAGCUGUAAACCUCUGUUACCUAAGGAGGAAGAUCUGACGUUACUUAGGAGACGAAGCAUCGGCUAACUCCGUGCCAGCAGCCGCGGUAAGACGGAGGAUGCAAGUGUUAUCCGGAAUCACUGGGCGUAAAGCGUCUGCAGGUGGUUUCUUAAGUCCACUGUUAAACCUUGAGGCUCAACCUCAAUUCAGCAUUGGAAACUGGGAAACUUGAGUAUAGUAGGGGUAGAGGGAAUUUCCAGUGGAGCGGUGAAAUGCGUAGAUAUUGGAAAGAACACCGAUGGCGAAGGCACUCUACUGGGCUAUUACUGACACUCAGAGACGAAAGCUAGGGGAGCAAAUGGGAUUAGAUACCCCAGUAGUCCUAGCCGUAAACGAUGGAUACUCGAUGUUGGGCGUAUCGACCCGUC
rnacentral:rRNA from 1 species